GCAUGUGGUUUAAUUCGAAGCAACGCGAAGAACCUUACCAGGCCUUGACAUGCAGAGAACUUUCCAGAGAUGGAUUGGUGCCUUCGGGAACUCUGACACAGGUGCUGCAUGGCUGUCGUCAGCUCGUGUCGUGAGAUGUUGGGUUAAGUCCCGUAACGAGCGCAACCCUUGUCCUUAGUUACCAGCACGUUAUGGUGGGCACUCUAAGGAGACUGCCGGUGACAAACCGGAGGAAGGUGGGGAGUGACGUCAAGUCAUCAUGGCCCUUACGGCCUGGGCUACACACGUGCUACAAUGGCCGGUACAGAGUGAAGCGAAACCGCGAGGUGAAGCAAAACGCAGAAAGCCGGUCUCAGUACGGAUUGGAGUCUGAAACUCGACUUCAUGAAGUUGGAAUCGCUAGUAAUCGCGCAUCAGCAUGGCGCGGUGAAUACGUUCCCGGGCCUU
rnacentral:rRNA from 1 species